UGGGGUGCGCCCAGGGCGCACGCCAGCUCGCGUGCGCCCCCUCCCGUGAUGCCGUUCCGCUAGGAUCCGACGGAUGGCGCGCGGGGCUCGGCUCGUUUCCUCACGCAGCGUGGCUCGGCUCAGCGGCAGCGCCCGGCUCUGUUUUCUUCGCUCUCUUUUUUUUUCGGAGCUCUGGAGAAUGGAGAUGCGCCGCAGAUCCAUCGCCGGAGCCGCCGCAGAUCCAUCGCCGGAGCCGCCGCAGUUCCCAUCACCAGAGCCGCCGCGUCCCCUGCUCCCGGCGGUGCCACCGCUCCCGCGCGCCCGAGCCGGCUCCUCCCCGUCGCCCGUCACAUCGGCCUCCCCGUCGACCACGCUGACUCCGCCCGGCGGCCCAGCGCCGCGUCGGCCGCGGCUGCUUCCCUCCGCCACUGCUGCCCCGCCCGCAGCCGGGCGUGGCCGCUGCUGCCUCCCCGUCCAGCUGCCAUCCCUAUCCGCCAUCUGUUUGCUGCCUUUGUUUGCCGAAUUGGCGCCUUCCAUUGAUGUGGUUCCAAGUUCAGGUAAUCAAGCAGUUACCUCCAGCUGGGAAGCGGGAGGCAUGAGGCACCCAACGCAUUGGCCAAGAUGGUGGUGACACCAUGAAGUCCGUCCGUCGGCAAGGAAGAGAGAAGAAUGUAACUGGCCGACAUGACAUGAACUAGGGACGCGGCAGCGAUGAAGCCUCUUGUGCCAGUCUAUAUGAUAUUGGUGAAGAUUUAUUUUUCUUGUGCCUCUGUUUGCUACCUCUAUUUGCUGAAUUGGCCAGGUCCAUUGAUGUGGUUCCAAGUUUAGGUAACAAUGGUACAAAUUCCGAUUAACAACUCAGUAGCCAGUAAAUUCCGAAGUGGUUUCAUACAUACUGAUACUCUUCUUUAUGCAAUUAUGCAGGAUCACAGAUUUUUGGCAUAGGCAGCAUGUCCUUGUCGCCUGUGUCUUGGUUGCUGGUCACAAUCUGAUGUUCAAUUGUUCAACUUAUGACUGCAAAUUGUGUCUUAGUUGUUAGUUAAAUUUUACAUGAUUGAUCACUUCAGACAUGAUGAGGCAGGCUAACAGUCUGAUGUAUAUAGUGUAGGUCUCAAAUUGUACAAUGUAUGGAUGUACUACAAAAGAGAUUAUUCUGAAAUAAAUAUGGUUGUUCUUGAACA